rnacentral:rRNA from 1 species
GACGAACGCUGGCGGCGUGCCUAAUACAUGCAAGUUGAGCGCUGAAGGUUGGUACCUGUACCAACUGGAUGAGCAGCGAACGGGUGAGUAACGCGUGGGGAAUCUGCCUUUGAGCGGGGGACAACAUUUGGAAACGAAUGCUAAUACCGCAUAAAAACUUUAAACACAAGUUUUAAGUUUGAAAGAUGCAAUUGCAUCACUCAAAGAUGAUCCCGCGUUGUAUUAGCUAGUUGGUGAGGUAAAGGCUCACCAAGGCGAUGAUACAUAGCCGACCUGAGAGGGUGAUCGGCCACAUUGGGACUGAGACACGGCCCAAACUCCUACGGGAGGCAGCAGUAGGGAAUCUUCGGCAAUGGACGAAAGUCUGACCGAGCAACGCCGCGUGAGUGAAGAAGGUUUUCGGAUCGUAAAACUCUGUUGGUAGAGAAGAACGUUGGUGAGAGUGGAAAGCUCAUCAAGUGACGGUAACUACCCAGAAAGGGACGGCUAACUACGUG